AUUGAACGCUGGCGGCAGGCCUAACACAUGCAAGUCGAACGGCAGAACGGAUCUUGCUCCUUGGUUCCGCGGGGGACGGGGGUGUGAUAUCUAUGAAACUACGUGCUAGUGUGGGGGAACGCCCGGAGAAAGGCGCAUUUACCCCAUACACGCUGAGCGAGUAAGAGGGGGGGCCUCGGAGCUCUCGCCCUCACGGGAUCGUAGGUCGCAUUAGCUAGUUGGUGGGGUAAAGGCCUACCAAGGCGACGAUCCGUAGCUGGUCUGAGAGGAUGAUCAGCCACACUGGAACUGAGACACGGUCCAGACUCCUACGGGAGGCAGCAGUGGGGAAUAUUGGACAAAGGGCGAAAGCCUGAUCCAGCCAUGCCGCGUGUGUGAAGAAGGCCUUCGGAUUGUAAAGCACUUUUGGUUGGGAAGAAGGGCAGUACGUUAAUACCGUGCUGUUUUGACGUUACCGAAAGAAUAAGCACCGGCUAACUACGUG
rnacentral:rRNA from 1 species